GAGAGUAAAGUGCUGCCCUUUAGGAGAGAGCAAGAGACAGGUACGUGAGGUAGAGGUUACUCUGGGAGGCCAUAAGCUUUCCUAGUUCACAGUAAAACAUACUGAGGUGUCAUAAAAUGAAAAGGGAUAUGACCAAAUGAUAAAAAAGCAAACGAGAAGAAGGGGGGAGUAGAAAAAGAACAAAGUGUAACCAUUUAUUGAAUUAAUUUGUAGUCUGCUCAUUUGGAAUUCUAAGACAGAUGUAACUUGUUUCCUCUCUGGGAUGGUUUUUAUGAACAUCUAAAGUAAUCUUUAACCCCUUUAUGUGUAUUAGCCUUUAGUGCUUUUGCUGAACGGCUAUUCCAGGUACCUACUACCUUUUCUGCAUCACCGUGAGCCGGAUUUACCUUCUGUCUGUUGUCUGUGAAAUUGUGUUACUGGGUACUUUUUACAAAAAUUCUGAGUUUACCUCCCCUUUGGUUUCAAAUCGGAUGUAAGCUUGUGUGUCGAGGUGCCAGGUAUUUUUUGGAUUGGAAAAAAUACAAAUACAAAAUACAAAUUAAAAGAUGAGAAAAUUCCUGUGAAUGGGUUAAUCUGUAUUUCUUGCCUUGUUUUUUAAUAUUUAACAUAAUCUUGCAUCAUUGCAAUUAUAACUAGUUUAGAUCCAAGCUCAUAAAACCAUAACGUCCAGUUAAACCAGUGAACCAAAAUGUUUUUCAUAUAGUACAGAGUUCAAUGUGAUCAAAAUAUUAACCUACUCUUUAUUCACAGGGCUCCGUGCUAAUGUCCUGUUAAUAUUAGAAAGCAACGGUAGACUGAUACCACUGUGAAAAUAAAUGUGUACAUUAGUAAAAGAAUGUCUAGACAAGGGAUCUCCAAUCUCUACCCACAUUCUUGCAGGUAUUUAUGGAAGCUGCAGCCCAACAAAUGGUGGUGGACAGAGAUUUUACAUUCCUUGUCUUAAAUUAGUAAGAUUAACACAUUUUACAAUUGCCUUCAACAUUAAAAUAUUGAGACAUAUGUGGUGAUGUAUGACCAAUAAAUAAGUGCAGAUGACCAAAAUAUGUUUUUUUUGAUAGAGUACUUAGGAACUAUGUAGCAAAGAGCAGAGCCCAGUGCACCCAAGCGAUUUCCUUCGGCACUGGUUAAGACUCCACCAUCACUCCUCUUCACUUGAAGUUGGACAACGUUGGGGACCUAAUGUGCAUGUGCAGUGAGUGCUUCAUUCACAUUAGGACAACCCCAUAGGAAGCCAUUGAUUUAAUGCUUUCCUAUGGGGCUUAAGCUGAUGCUGGGUGUCCUAAUGCAUAGCAUGAGGAUGUCCAACAUCAGUUAGACAACCAAAGGUCACUUAAUGACCCAGAAGCAUCUUUGGUGGCUGUGAUUUUCACAGUGACAAGCACGCAAGCGCCUCUGGAGGCUGGAUUAACCCUAACAAAAAAGGGUUAACCCUAGCUGGACCUGGCACCCAGACCACUUCAUUAAGCUGAAGUGGUCUGUGUGCCUGUAGUGGUCCUUUAAGCUUUGUUGAUAUCUCCCUAAUAAAGGACAUGUUUGCUAAGAUUACAAAUGCCAUCACACUUCUCCUAUCUUAUUCUCAUUUUAAAUAGUUUCACUGAAACAAAGUAUGCAAAUUGUUGAAUUGCUAACUGUUUCUGCAACAUCUGCAAACAUUGCUAAUUGCUGGGCUCUGCAAGCAUACCACUAGACUUCGAGAUUUGUUUAAUCAAAUGCCCAAACUCCAAGCCAAAGUAUACCCAAACCCCCCAAAAUCUAGUAGUUCUGUAAAAUGUUCUACUUUCGGAAAUAAUUCUUCGGCCAAGCUGAAUUUGCCAUACACCUACCUUGUGCAUGAUUCCCAAACCCUACAUGGAAUCAAAAGUGUGACAAACGCUCUUUUCCAUAAACAUUUGCCACAAACUCCUGGCGGAGUGUGGAAGCUGGCCUCCUGCCCACCAACUAUGGUCCAGGUCAUAGAGCCCGUUCGGGACUUACCCUGCCCAGCUGAUCUGAGCAACUUUUCCUCGGUGCCCCUGGUUCGGCACUUUCCCUUCUCACAAAUUGAACCGAACUCCAGCUCCCUGGUGGCCGUUUGCAUGAACCAACCCAUGAACAGUCCUCAGCGGUACUUAGCAGCAAAAGUUAUGGAACUAAUUUCCGCUGUUCCCGGGAAACUUGGUCUGGUGUUUGGAACCACGUUGCGACCCACCAGGAGAGCACUUUUUGGAUGGAAGGUGCCUGAGACUAAGAAGAACAAACGCUCCCUGAGAGCCAGGCAGAGCACCCCAAAAGUUGACCGGCCAAAAGCAAACAUUGCUCUGGAACUGUUUUGGGCAUAGGACCAUGUGUGCAGCCGGUAAGAACUUUGCCCCAGUGGCGUUUCCCCUAUACUGCAUGGAUCUGAGCGCUAUUUGGACAACUUGGGCGCUCAGAUUAGAGCUGUAGGACAUGUGGGGUUAUUGUAUGUUUUUAUUAUGUUUUGAGGUUAUUUUUGUAUUUUUAUGUUUGACUCUCUGUUCCUGGGAGAUAAUAAACUAGUUGUAUUCCCAGAACUAUGUGUCGUCUAGUUACUUUGGGGGGUGGGGGGCUAUUCUCUGCUCAGCAUCUUUUUCCAGCUUGUGGAGGAUUCAGCGAGGAAAGUCCUUGUAAGGACUAUCGCUCCUAGGACUGUGUGUCAUCCAGUCCUUGGGAGGAAAUAGAGUUAGUCCCCUACCCUGUUCCAGGAUGGAGAGGCUCCACGAGGUACCCAGUCAAGCCAUGAGACUAGGGCAGAAGCACUGAGGUUUUCCCCGGUUCCAGCUAGGAAGCGAUCCUUGGCAGGGGAUACUGGGCGUUUUACUACAAAAAGUUACAGUAAUCUUGAAAAAAAAUCAUUUUUGGAUUGAAUUUGGUAAUCUAAUGUUCUUGCUACUAUCAUUGCUAAUCAUUACUGCUUUCCCAUUCAUAGCAACCACAAUGAACCCCAUGGAAGUUUCUGUGGUAACUCCCUGGCCGACUCUGCUAUAGCUGACUAGGGAUGAUAGGAACGAAGUGACUGACGUCAGCCCAUUCUGACACCGGUGUCACACAUGAGGUUUUCCCUGCUGUGGGAUGCUUCCCCAAAUCAAAAAGUGAAGGAUGGACUGGAGAUGCCAUCUUCACAACACUCUGAAAAUGGCAGAGCUGGAAUCGAGGUUAGUAUAGCUUUAUAUAUAUAUAUAUAUAUAUAUAUAUAUAUUUUAAAUCCUUUAUUUUGUUUGGGCAGAGAAACAAUGCUAUGAAUAUUGCAUGUAGUUUAUAUCAUAUAUCUACACAAGUAAAUAGAGCAUGCGGUCUGCUCAAUUACCCCUGAGCGCUUGGCAGGGAGGGGGGUUGGCAGGUGUAAUGCCCUGGUAUUGUGUUAGAUUAUAUUAUGGGACCAAUAACAUAAAGUCAACUGCAUAAAAGUAACAAACUAAUAGAAGAACAAACAACAAACAAAACUGUUAGAGGUUUAGUCCAUCUCAGUACAAACAGCCCAAACUCUGUCGCUUCUCAGUGUCUGAGUGUCGACAGCAGAUGACUUUAGACACAUCCCAGGAGUGGCUCGGCCCAGCUGUGCUGGUGGAUAGUGAGGUAAGACCCAUGUCCCGAAGGAAAGUCUUCCACAGAGGCAAGUUGGUGAGUGCGGCUAUAUCUGCGAACUGUCAGGGUGCUAAGAGGGACCCCACUUUUACUGGAGCACAGAGUCUUCGUGACUUGUUGGAAGGACCACCUCCAGUCCAGGCUAAAUCAGCACAGAGCUUGUAGGAACAGGAGCUGCAUCUACUCAAACUGAAGCUGUGUUCUGCUUUACACAGUGUCUUGUAUUGCCAGCUUAUCACGAAGCAGUGGAAAGCGGACCAGGACAUCACGAGGAACACGAGACGGUACCCUGUUGGAUUUGGUGAGCCGGAAACAACUUGGAUGCCCUUUUCGAGCAUUGGGGCAAAAGAGUAGUAAAUAGGUAUCUGAGAAAGUGAGGCAAUUCGUGCUCAUCUACGGAUUCAGCAAUUUUCAGGUUAUUGCACCUCCAUGCAUCAUCCAAUGUGUCAAUUCUGAUCUGCAUGUCUUUGUGGGAUACCAGGAGUUGUAGUACCAGCUCAUUGGUUCCUGUCUGCUUUUGCAGUAUGGGGGAGAAUUUGUCCUUAUUGUCUUGUACUCUGGCAGUAACAACAGAUAUUACUUCACGGAUUAUGUCCAAGUCUUCAAUAAACAAGACUCGGAUGUUGUGCAUUAGGGCCUUGAUAUCCCCCAUUGGUGGCUGGAGAUGACCCGUCUUUCUCCUGGUGAGGAGAGACUGGGCCCUCUGUUCGAGGUAUUUCAUUGGGAGUGUCAAAGAGUUGUUCCUCGUAAGAGAAAUAAUGGGGAUCUGGUUGCACCACAAUUUUGGGAUUAGGUUGCAUUUGACCUGCGUGGAGGGUUUUCAGCUUCUUAGCUUUGUGCCAUAUGCCCCUCUGAUGUUUUGAACCUGAGCUUGGGAUAUCUUGAGAUUUUACAAUGAAUACAUCAUGUAUAUUUGUGAUAUAUGACAUAUUCAAUGUGUAUGGUUGCAAUUUAAGGGUACAUGGUUGUUUACAGGUCUUCUGUAGGAUCAAGGGUCUACAUUUAGUCAGAUUUAUUUACUCUAUAUGUGCCUCUAACUUUAAAGAAAUACAUUUUCUGAUUAUGAAAGACAAAUAAAGGAGAACAUGAAAAGGUAUCCAGUAUAUGUUUGUUGCUUGGGUCAAUUAGAUAUAAUUUGUUGCCUUUUUCUGUAAUCUGUUCAAACAAUAUAUUCAAUGUUGCCCAAUUUUGUGAGUGGCUGCCUAUUUUGUUUUAUUUACAUUUGAUAAUAUUGGACCUUUAACAAAUAUAUACUUUUAGAUCAAAAGGAAAAAAAAAGUGAACACAGUGUUGAUAAAUAUUUCUUGACUGAAGUUAUGCAGUAUAUAUUCCACUGAAAAUAUAGACAUUUUAGAACUGGUUCUAUCACAUUUAUCAGCAAUCUCAAAAUAGAAAAGUAGAGGUUGGAAACAAAACUGAAAUAGGCGCUUAGAUGUACAUAGUCCCUGAUCAAACAUUCACUACAAUUUGACAUUGUAUAAUGUCAUAACAUGUACAUGGCUAGUACUUCCUCAUUUGUGUUUCAAUGUGUUGCUUGUUAGUAGACAGGGAGGCUCGUAUGGCUCAGGGAGGCCCAGGGAGGCUCAGGGAAUUUUAGGGAGGCUCAGGACUCAGGAGAAACAUAGAAACAUAGAAUGUGAUGGCAGAUAAGAACCAUUCAGAACCAUCCAUCUAGUCUGCCCAAUUUUCUAAAGACGUAUUCCCUAGCCUUAUCUUAUAGUUAGGAGAGCCUAAUGCCUAUCCCACGCAUGCUUAAACUCCUUUACUGUGUUUACACUUCAGCUGGAAGGCUAUUCCAUGCAUCCACUACCCUCUCAGUAAAGUAAUACUUCCUGAUAUUAUUUUUAAACCUUUGCCCCUCUAAUUUUAGACUUGCCCUGCGAGGGGGGUUUUGGUCGUUUGUGUUCGUUUUUCUUCUUUUAAAUAUAGUCUCCUCCUUUACUGUGUUGAUUCCCUUUAUGUAUUUAAAUGUCUCCAUCAUAUCCCCCCUUGUCUCGUCUUUUCUCCAAGCUAUAUAUGUUAAGUUCCUUUAACCUUUCCUUGUAAGUUUUAUUCUGGCAAUCCGUGAACCAGUUUAGUAGCCCUUCUUUGAACUCUCUCUAAAGUAUCAAUAUCCUUCUGGAGAUACAGUCUCCAGAACUGCGUACAAUAGUCCAAGUGAAGUCUCACCAGUGUUCUGUACAAUGGCAUGAGCACUUCUACUUCUGCUUCUAAUGCUAAUACCUCUCCCUACACAACCAAGCAUUCUGCUAGUGUUUUCCUAGUCAUCAGAAAUAAUCACCCCUAAAUCCCUUUCCUCAGAUGUUCAAAUAUUCUGUACUCUGCCGUUGGGUUUUUACGUCCAAGAUGCAUUAUCAGUCAGUUUCCACAACUCUAACCAUUUUUCUAGUUUACCUAAAUCAUUUGCCAUUUGGCUUAUCCCUCCGUGAACAUUAACCCUGUUACAUAUCUUAGUAUUAUCAGCAAAAAGACAUACCUUACCAUCAAGACCUUCUGCAAUAUCACUAAUAAAAAUAUUAAAGAGAAUGGGUCCAAGGACAGAUCCCUGAGGUAUCCCACUGGUGACAAGCCCAUGCUUUGAAUAUACUCCAUUGACUACAACCCUAUGUUGCCUGUCACUCAGCCACUGCCUUGCCCAUUCAACAAUAUUGAAAUCCAAACUUAAAGAUUCCAGUUUAUAUAUAAGCCUUCUAUGUGCAACUGUGUCAAAAGCCUCACUGAAAUCUAGGUAAGCAAUGUCUACUGCACCACCCUGAUCCAUUAUUUUAGUUACCCAAUCAAAAAAAUCAAUAAGAUUAGUUUGGCAUGAUCUCCCUGCAGUAAACCCAUGUUGUCUUUGAUCUUGAAAUCCAUGUGAUUUUAGAUGAUCAACAAUCCUAUCCUUUAACGUGGUUUCCAUCACUUUCCCCACUACUGAAGUAAGGCUUACUGGCCUAUAGUUGCCCAACUCCUCCCUAUUACCUUUCUUGUGAAUGGACACAACAUUUGCUAACUUCCAAUCUUCUGGGACUACUCCUGUUAACAAUGAUUGGUUAAAUAAAUCUGGUAAUGGUUUUGCUAGUACACCAUUGUUGUGGUUAUAAUUCAGCAUACAUCAAUGUUUUCUCUCAGGUAUGAAGACAAGGAAUAAACACAGCAGAAAUACGAGCUCGGAGGGCAGUACUCAUCCACACAAGUAGCUGAGACAAAUCUGCAGUAACAAAAAUAUAUGCUGAGUAUUUUUUAAAUAUUUUCCCAUAAUAAAGAAAGUAGGAGCUCAGAACCAUUUUUAUUACCUGCUAAACUAUAGAAGCAAG